ACUUUUGAGAACCUUUUCUGAAAAAUGUAAAGCUGCCAGAGUUUCAGUGCCUGCCUGCCUGCUGCUAAACUAAGACCAGAUGAUGGAGCAGUGCUGCUGCGUCCAAGCCGAGUACGUCAACCCCGGGAAUGAGAGCUCCUGGCAACAGCUCCAGCGUUGCAAAGACAGAAAGAGGAAAUGGGGGACAGGAGGGCAUCCAGGCAGCUGAAAAGGACAUAAUGGAAGAGAAGGGAUCCACGCUAGUCACAAACAGGCAGCCUUAUGCAUCAGCACCAGAGCUGCAGUGGCACAAAGCAAGGCAGGUUUGCCCCUUCUGUCCAGCAAAACAAUCGCUUUAUUAGUCUUUACAAAAAAAAGUCUUCCGUAAGUAUAUACUCUACCCGAGUCUUGGCAAAACUUUUUGUUGUUGCUUCUGAAUAUCAGCGUCUUUUCAAGAUGUUUUCUAAUGUAGUUUUCUA
rnacentral:lncRNA from 1 species